ensembl:lncRNA
CUAGCCCUGUGUUUACAAAAGUUGAUAAAAACCCACGCGGGAAAAGCAGCGAUAACACACGUCCCGGCUGAAUGGCGGGGGAAAUGAGGGGGUUUUUCCCCGUCGCACAUCAGAUCAAGGGCGCUGUCAAUCCGGGGUGGCCCAGGGGAAGCUCUCCAGCCUCUCGGAGGCAGCGGCAGCUACCGCAGGCUGCGGCCGCCGAGAGAGCGCCCGGUGCCGGCUCUGCCCCUCGGGCAAGCGGGACCUCUGCCCGCUCCUCUGCCGCUCCCGUCCCGCCUGCUCCAUCCUCCAAAGAUCCCUUCGCUUCUCUCCCCAGACCCUCUCCGGUGUGGGCAGGAGAGAGGGGGCUUCCCGUGUUGUUGCUGUCCCUCAGGAGGGCACAGCUCAGUGGCAGGGUCGGAAAGUUGCUUGUAAACCAGGAUCUCUUCUUUAAAUGCGGGUGAUCCACAGCCUUCCGAGAGAAGUUGACCCCUGCGUGUUGGGCUGUAGAGUGACCAGACAGAAGCUGAUGUCCUCCUGCCACACGAAGGAGCCUGGAAUCCAUAGACUGGAUUGUUAAACUACAGGGGUACUUGCAUGCCUUUUACUCUUCUGAAGCAGGGCCCACACUCAAUCUUUUUAGAAAUUACCCCUUGAAUGGUAUAAACGUGGACCUUCAUGUCUUGUUUGGUGUGGAUCAAAGAAAUUGUUUAUUUAAUGUGGCCAUUAUUUCUUGGAGCCCCUCGGGGAACUGUGAAUUUCCAAAGGUCUUUCAGCAGCCCUUGCUGGUACCUCUCCAAGAAGGGAGGUAUUGAAAACACUCACAGCACCCAAAAUUGUGAAUAAAACAUGCAAUAUUUUUUGAAAUAAAAAUUGUGAAUAAAACAUGGGGUUUUUUGCCCUCUAGAUACUCACCACCAUGCUAGGAAUAAAGAACUUGGUAAUGCUAUCAACAUCAGCUCUGGAUGUCAUGUAAGAUAUUGUGCCAGGAUACUGACAGGUGAUGAUACAGCUCUUCCUUGCACAUUUUAUUUUAUGCCUUACAUGGUUCUCAUGGAAGCUUUUACACUUAGAUCACCAGCCUCUUUGAUUGAUGUUUUAACAAGUAUCUUCUCAGAUCUAGUUUUUCUGAACUCCUGAUAUAUGACUUUACUUAGUAGCUGUAUGAACCUCAGUAAAGUCACUGCUGUCUAAUACAGACCAAUAUCACACUUGAAAGGGCAGUUCAAAAGGAUAGAAUCAUAAAACCACAGAGUGGCUUGUGUUGGGAGGGACCUCAAAGAUAAUCUAGUUCCAGCCUCUCAAAGAAGUCUGGCUGCUCCCAGCUGAGAGAUUUUUUUGGUGAAAAAGGAGGGUUAAAGUCUUUGCUUCCCGGUGACACUGGCAGGGAUGUUAGAACCAGAAAAAUUUCUCAUUUAACUACAAGUAAUUAGUUGUGAUUGUACAGAUUCCUAGCAUGACAUAAGAAAGCCCCAAUACCAGUGAUAGCUGCUAUGCCUCUUGUGAGAGUCUAGGUGAACCUCUUAACCUUUCAGGACAAGGUUUGUGCUGACUAUUUCGACAAAGUAUCAAAGCCUGUUAUCCAUAAGAAAAAAGAGUUUAAUUUCCAAAGGCUUUUUGCUUUAGAUGGUGACAUCUUAAGAAUUUCAGCUACAAAUUCUGGUAUUCUGUGCAAAUUACCAGAAGUGUGCUGGAAUUUGCUCUGAGGACAAGGACGUCUUUGAUCACCACAUAACAUCGAUUUGGUGUAUCAUGGAGGAGUGCAACACUUGCAAAAUGUAGCUGCAGAGUAGCACACAAGGGACUCCUGGGUGUCCAAGGGAAUUAGGGGAUUACUGGCUGAUGCUACAACUGCCCAAGUGUCUGGGGAAAUCUUGUUCAAGCCAAUUAAUAACAAAGAAAUUGAGCUGCCCAAGGACAGAGAGGAAGGCAGGGCAGAGAGGAGCUACCCUCACAUUAGCAAGCCCACAACUCAUGAAUCUUCACAGAUACAAAGGCUAAACUCAAAGGAAGGCAGGCCAGUGGUUCAGCAGCCAAGUGCCCUCCCCUCCAGGUCACUCUUCCAGCUGGUACAGGUGACAAGGCCAGCUGCUCCACUUUGCUGUGGUGAAAAGACCUCAGUGGAAAUUCACCAGGGGGAAAAUGGAUGGAUUCAGGAUACUGUUGAUUUGUAAAAAGCAUUCCAACAACUAAAUAUGAACAGUCAGGAUUUACACAUCAGGCUCAAUUUGUGGUUGCCCAGAGGCUGUGGAAGCAAGUCAUUACCAGAAUGUAGCUGGUGCAGUCACUAAGGUAAAAUUGAAGCUGAGAGCUCUAGCUAGGUGAGGGAGAGGCAAUUCAGUUAUUCUGUCAUGCCUUCAGCUACAAUCCAAUUUCAGAAUAACAGUACAUCUUUUGCAGUUGAAGAAUAGGCAUCUUAACAUAACAACAAUCACAUAUUACCUGUGAUGUGUCUGGAAAGCACCAAAUGUUCUUUUCAUAGGAUUACCCUUCCCCACUUCCUUGCCAGCUGCAUUAGGUUAGGAGAAGGAAGGAGCAGCAGCUAGCAGAGAUGAAGGCAUCAAGUGCCUUCUAGCAGUGGAGGGAAGAAGGGGAAUUUGUAAGGUGCAGCUAGUUUUCAGAGUGGAGAUAGGAUGAAGCAAGGAGAAACUGUAAUAAUCUGACCUUUGUGCUGCUUAGAUUCAGGUUUUCUGACACAGAUCUUUCCUCUGUGAGAGCCUUGUUGCUAUGAGUGAGACGUUGAAAACUAUUAUCUCUAGCUCAUUCUUGAUUUUGUCUUUUGUUCAUGUCUGUGGUUGAAGUAUUCUUGACCUUAGCUGGCUGGAUUUAUUCAUGUGCAGUCAGACACGAGAGUACGUUUUUAGCAUGAAUGAAGAUUGGAGAGAUGAACAGAGUCAGGUGGCUUGUGCUUUUCUUUAGUCUAUUUUGGAUACUUGUUUUGUCUUAAAACUAGAGGGUUUAUGUUUUCAAGUGCUGUUUUUGAGCAGUUAAAGUCUCCUUGAGCUAGUGGGACUUUUGUUCUCAUAUAUCUCAUUCAUUAACAACCCUUGGGCUCCUGAGUUUCAGGUCGCAGCAAUAUUUUGUGAUAAUCAGCUGAGUAGUGGUUGCGCCUGGCAUCAGAGCCUUUGUUUGGGAGUUUUGUAAUUGUUUUAGGCAUUUUGUGUGUGUGUGUUCCUGCAAAGCCCAGAAAGAUGGUGGAAGCUGAGUGAAUUUGUGCAGCCAGGGAAGAAGGCUGCUUAGGCACCAUGGGGUCUCUGUUCUGGUCUCCAGACAACAAACAGCUAAGUUUUCCUGAAUGAUACAAAGUCAUUCUUCAUUACUUCAUCCCUCCUGACUUCCUGGGACAGUAAAUCCAAUCCCAUCUGUCUUCGCUGUGGCUUUGUCCCACAUUCUCCCCAUGUGUGAUAUAUCAAGGGUGAUAUGCAAAUCUCAUUAUUUCAGUGUAUAUAUUGGUCCUUCG